rnacentral:lncRNA from 1 species
GCUUCAAAGCUUCACUUGCAAAGCUUCACCUACAAAGCUUCAGUGCAUGGUCUACAAAGACCGCCUCCGAACAACCGCCAUUUCAGCCCAUACAUGGAUUGAAUUUGAAGUCUCCAGCCAACAGCGUCUAUUGACCGAAGACUUGGGGGACUACAUUAUGUACCAUAUAUUAGGCCUCAACUGGGCCUCAUGAAAAAUACUUGGGGGACUUAGCCCAUUAUUUAUGUAUUGAGGAGCGAGCCCUUAUUCUAUAAAAGGGACUCCAUCACCUUCAUUAGAGAGCAACGCCGCCAGUUGAGCAACCGUCUCGCCGUAAGCAUCACUCCGAACCCAUAUUUAUGUAUUGAGGAGCAAACCCUUAUUCUACAAAUGAGACUCCCCUCACCACUAUUAGAGAGCAUCAACUCUAGCCCAUCAUCCAUGUAUUGAGGAGUGAGCCCUUAUUCUAUAAAAGGGACUCCCUCACCUUCAAACGCCACAAGUCGAGCCAAACAAGGCAACAUAAGCUACAAGCAAAGCGGCCUCACAACAUGUGCUACUUCUAGUUGAACAUCAUUUCAGAUUGGGCACCGCCUCAUAUCGAGCAUCAGUUCUAGACGACAUUUAGUUACUUCGGCCCACACAUGGACUGAAUUUCAAGUCUCCAGCCAAAAGACUCUCUUGACUGAAGACUUGGGGGACUACUGUUUAUACCAUAUUUAGGGCCUCGUAUAUUUGGGCCUUGGGCCUUGUAUUUAGGCCUCACACUAAAGCCCAUACUUUGUAAAAGAGGAGGAGCCCCUUAUUCUAUAAAAGGGGACUCCUCCCCUCAUUCUAAGGGAGGAAAAAGAGCCAAGCCUAAGAAGGCUAAGAGAAGCUAUCAUUACAUUCAGGAGAGACCUCACACCACCGAGGCUCUCCUCUCCCUUCUCUUCUUUCUCCUCCGGGGGACUUCCCCACAAACACUUGUAUCCAUACAAUUACAGAGAAACAGAAUCAACUACAGUGUGGACGUAGCCCAAACAUUGGGGUGAACCACGAUAACUCUUGUGUCAUUUACAUUUCAUGCAGAUUCACGGUCGGAUUUACUUUGUACCAAGACCAUCCGGUUUUGUGCAUCAACAUUUUACAUUAUGUACCAUAUAUUGGGCCUCAACUGGGCCUCAUGAAAAAUACUUGGGGGACUCUAGCCCAUUAUUUAUGUAUUGAGGAGCGAGCCCUUAUUCUAUAAAAGGGACUCCCUCACCUUCAAACGCCACAAGCCAAGCCAACCAAGGCAACAUAAGCUACAAGCAAAGCGGCCUCGCAACAUGUGCUACUUCUAGUUGAGCAUCAUUUCAGAUUGGGCACCGCCUCAUAUCGAGCAUCAGUUACUUCGGCCCACACAUGGACUGAAUUUCAAGUCUCCAGCCAAAAGACUCUCUUGACUGAAGACUUGGGGGACUACUGUUUAUACCAUAUUUAGGGCCUCGUAUAUUUGGGCCUUGGGCCUUGUAUUUGGGCCUCACACUAAAGCCCAUACUUUGUAAAAGAGGAGGAGCCCCUUAUUCUAUAAAAGGGGACUCCUCCCCUCAUUCUGGCAGAGGCUCAUUCUCACCCUCAGAGGCUCUCCUUCCUUCUCCCCCACCCUCCUUUCUCCGGGGGACUUCCCCCAAACACUUGUAUCCAUACACAUACAGAGAAACAAUAUCAACUACAGUGUGGACGUAGCCCAAACAUUGGGGUGAACCACGAUAAAAUCCUUGUGUUCUUUGUGUUCUUCGUGUUCUUGAGCGUUUGUGCAGAUUCACGGUCGGAUUUACGUUGUUCCAAGACCACUCCGGUUUUGUGCAUCAACAGUUGGCGCCGUCUGUGGGAAACGACACAAAAAGUUAUGUCGGUUCUCUCUUAAUUUUUCACCUCCGCCAUGAAUAUGCAAAAACCCAAAAACCAAACACAUAAACAGUCACUGCAAAACCCGUACUGCUACACCACUGCAGCAAAAUGUGGCACAGCCAUUUGGAAGCAUACACGUUUGGGUCUCGGUCUCAGCUUGAAUUUUCCUCACACCCAUAACAAUCAAAGCAGCAGCCGCUUUCAGCUAAAUAUGAGAUCUAAAUUCUAACUCGAAGAGGUGCCGAGGUGGGCCCCGAUCGUUCCUGCGGGGCAUCGACGUGAACCAGCUACCACCAACGGGCGAUUGCGAAGAAGAAGCGGGGGUGUCCACCCCCAGUUGCGAAAAUAUGGGUCGAAGAAAUGCUCCCGCUCUGCUGCAUCAUGCUCGAAGGUCUCGGUGACUAAUCGUCGGAGAUUUCGUUGUCCCAGACCCGGAGCAUCCCGGCGAGUCUGGCGCAGGUCAGAUCUGAAGCUAAUACCGCCGACCGAGCAUCGGGAUCUGAGGCCACCGUCGCCGGAGUCCUCCACAAGUGGACCAAUUACAGCAGCGGCGGAUCGCAGAUAGGAAACUGACAUAAAUGACGUCGCCGCAAACGUCACCUUCUUCGCCAGCGAUGUCAAUUUUCGAGCUUCUCUCGCCGAUGCCACCUUCGCCGCCGAACCCAGCUUAAACGGCCUGGUCCUCGUCGUAGAGAAACCCGGCUCCUUCAUCGUCGAUUGCAACGUCCCCAAACAGGACUUGAGUUUUCAGUUCAUGAACUCGGUUAGGGUUGUGGGAAAGUCCUCGUUAAAUUUGAAUUACAUUCACAUGAGGAGAGACAACCGAACGUCUGAACCCGAAGUCGGGAUUAGUUUGGAUAUUUCCCAUUCAGUGCUUGAUGUGGCAUUGGAAAAUGAGGUUGAUGAUGACCUUCUGCUUAGGGACAUGGGUCAGAGUUUAGGAUUUCGUUCAGGAGUUAUUGAUGGAGCGAUAAGCAUCUCAGCCGCAGCUUGCUCAGAUCCUGAUUACCCGCCGCAGCCUGCUCCUCCCAAGGUUCCGCACCCCUCACCGAUCUCACAUUCGAUUACCCACCACAGCCUUGCUCAUCAUAAACACACUCAUUGCGACUUGACGAAGAUAAACUUUUCCUUAAUAAUAAGUCUAUUAUCAUUCUCCUUGUCUGCCAUCAGCCAAAAGAGAAAAGAAAAAGUGACAGCAAUAAAGGAGGUGAUAGCUGUGAUGCCUAUCAGAAACUACGAAGGCUAAUUCAAAUAAUAUAUGAAGAAAGGAUUGUUUUCUCGGCACCAAGUCCACCAACAAUUUAAGGCUAUUAAAGAAAGCACAAAGUGUAGUGUGAAGCUUUGGUGGUGGACUCGUGGACCAUGCAACAAAAGAAGAAAGCAGAAAAUGAAAAGAAAAAGUAAAGCAAGUCUGCAAAAGCAAUCAGCAAGUAAGCUCGAUUAGGGGAAACAACUUGGCACGAUGACAAUGCAGAAGAUGCCCACCAACUUUCAUCAUCAACAACCGCCGAAGCAGCUGCAGCAGCAGCAGCCGCCGUCACAAAAACAGGGGCCCAACGAUGAGAUCAGACCAUCUGGGUUGGCGACCUUCAAUACGUAGAACUUCAGGUCCUCUGUCUCUCCAGCAAGGUGAUCUCCGGCGACCUGCCAGAUCAGUUGGUCUCCGGCCUCGAGGGCCUCCAAUUUCUCAACGUCAUGCGUUGGCCGAAAUAGCUGCACUAUGAUUGGUGAUUCUUUAUGUCUACCAAGUUAGGAAGAGAAAAAGUCUCAAGUCAAAAGGUGGUAGUACCAAAGACCUGGAAAAGUUCCCUUUACUCAGUUUUUCUUUGUUGAUGGGCACGAGGAGUGGGAAUGGAUGGGCACAACCUGUCCAAGAAAAGCAAGUGGUUUGGCAAACAAAAUGAUUACCUGCAGUGAUGAUUUUACUUUAGGGAUUUGAAGAUUAUCAAAAAAUUGCUCCUAAAGGAUCCCAUCAGACAGGGAUGAGGAACAUGGAUGGGCAAAGAAAUGGAGUGGAGAAAAAGAAAAAAUAAAAGUGAUGGGCACGACCUUGCUGUCCAAGAAAAGCAAGGAGAGGUAGCCCUCUAGUUUCGCCAAGAGACAGAGAUGCAGGAGGUGCAAAAGAAAAAGAAAAAGAAAAUGGAGGCUCUCCUCGAGAGCACAUGGGGACAACGCAAAAGAAAAAGAAAAAAUGAGAUCUUACUAAAGCCAAAGAAGAUGCUCACACUUUCAUCAUGCAUGUUCCUAUUUUCUGAGAAAGCUACGGAAAGACCUAGAAGGAAGAUAAAGGUUUCCUUACAUUAAAGUGAUGUAAUUUAUUUUUCUUAUCUUUCGAAUACAUCUGUAUGAACCCCAUCAGAGGGUUAAAAAAAAAAAAAAAAAAAAAAAAAAAAAGAAAAGCCCAAAAUAAAUGGGCUGGCAUGUUGUGGAGAGCGAAGGCCCAUAAGCCCAAAAUAGCACCAACCAAGUGAUCAAAAGUACGCCUAGUACUCCAAAUUAUACAUGAGCACUACUCAUGUCAUUCAUACAUAAACAUUCAUGAGCAUCACUCAUGACAAUCAUACAUAAACAUUCAUGACCAUCAUUCAUGUCAACAUUCAUGAGCAUCACUCAUGUUAACAUUCAUGAGCAUCACUCAUGACAACAUCCAUGAGCAUCACUCAUGUCACUCAACAUAAACAUUCAUGAGCAUCACUCAUGUCAAUCAGCUUCAAAAGCUUCAUUUACAAAAACUCUAGCUUCAAAAGCUUCAUUUACAAGAACUCUAGCUUCAAAGACUUCAUUUACGGAGCUCUAGCUUCAAAGCUUCACUUGCAAAGCUUCACUUACAAAGCUUCAGUGCAGGGUAUACAAAUACCACAUCCGAACAACCGCCACUUCGGCCCAUACAUGGAUUCAAUUUGAAGUCUUCAGCCAACAGACUCUAUUGACCGAAGACUUGGGGGACUACAUUAUGUACCAUAUAUUGGGCCUCAACUGGGCCUCAUGAAAAAUACUUGGGGGACUCUAGCCCAUUAUUUAUG